UAAAGCUUCUUUCUAACGUUCCAAAGACAACUCAGCUAGAAUCAUAGCAUUGUUGAAAGAUGGAAGAAGUCAAGCGUCUGUGUCCAGGGUGCUUAAGAUUUCCAGAACAACUAUGCAAAGGGUCCUCCAUCGCUAGCAGGAUUACUGGAGAUUACUCAAGAAGGCAUGGAUCAGGUCACAUCACAAAGACAUGAUCUUUUUAUUGAUUCAAAUUUACUCCGUAAUCGACACUACUGCUGUUGAAAACAAGCAAUGGCUUCAACAAGUUAGAAAUAUUAAUUGAAUAAAAGACAAUGGAUAUUGUAACAUUUGAUAACAGGAGAUAAAAGGCAGAAAUAAAUUUGUUUCUAAGUGUUUUAGUCAACAAUGGCGUACUUGUCCACUGUCGAAAGAUAAACAUAUCUCAAAAUAUUUUGACUAAAGUUAAGAAUUGUUUGUCUU